AAAUUGAAGAGUUUGAUCAUGGCUCAGAUUGAACGCUGGCGGCAGGCCUAACACAUGCAAGUCGAACGGUAACAGGAAGCAGCUUGCUGCUUUGCUGACGAGUGGCGGACGGGUGAGUAAUGUCUGGGAAACUGCCUGAUGGAGGGGGAUAACUACUGGAAACGGUGGCUAAUACCGCAUAACGUCGCAAGACCAAAGAGGGGGACCUUCGGGCCUCUUGCCAUCAGAUGUGCCCAGAUGGGAUUAGCUUGUUGGUGAGGUAACGGCUCACCAAGGCGACGAUCCCUAGCUGGUCUGAGAGGAUGACCAGCCACACUGGAACUGAGACACGGUCCAGACUCCUACGGGAGGCAGCAGUGGGGAAUAUUGCACAAUGGGCGCAAGCCUGAUGCAGCCAUGCCGCGUGUAUGAAGAAGGCCUUCGGGUUGUAAAGUACUUUCAGCGGGGAGGAAGGUGUUGUGGUUAAUAACCACAGCAAUUGACGUUACCCGCAGAAGAAGCACCGGCUAACUCCGUGCCAGCAGCCGCGGUAAUACGGAGGGUGCAAGCGUUAAUCGGAAUUACUGGGCGUAAAGCGCACGCAGGCGGUCUGUCAAGUCGGAUGUGAAAUCCCCGGGCUCAACCUGGGAACUGCAUUCGAAACUGGCAGGCUUGAGUCUUGUAGAGGGGGGUAGAAUUCCAGGUGUAGCGGUGAAAUGCGUAGAGAUCUGGAGGAAUACCGGUGGCGAAGGCGGCCCCCUGGACAAAGACUGACGCUCAGGUGCGAAAGCGUGGGGAGCAAACAGGAUUAGAUACCCUGGUAGUCCACGCCGUAAACGAUGUCUACUUGGAGGUUGUGCCCUUGAGGCGUGGCUUCCGGAGCUAACGCGUUAAGUAGACCGCCUGGGGAGUACGGCCGCAAGGUUAAAACUCAAAUGAAUUGACGGGGGCCCGCACAAGCGGUGGAGCAUGUGGUUUAAUUCGAUGCAACGCGAAGAACCUUACCUGGUCUUGACAUCCACGGAAGUUUUCAGAGAUGAGAAUGUGCCUUCGGGAACCGUGAGACAGGUGCUGCAUGGCUGUCGUCAGCUCGUGUUGUGAAAUGUUGGGUUAAGUCCCGCAACGAGCGCAACCCUUAUCCUUUGUUGCCAGCGAUUCGGUCGGGAACUCAAAGGAGACUGCCAGUGAUAAACUGGAGGAAGGUGGGGAUGACGUCAAGUCAUCAUGGCCCUUACGACCAGGGCUACACACGUGCUACAAUGGCGCAUACAAAGAGAAGCGACCUCGCGAGAGCAAGCGGACCUCAUAAAGUGCGUCGUAGUCCGGAUUGGAGUCUGCAACUCGACUCCAUGAAGUCGGAAUCGCUAGUAAUCGUGGAUCAGAAUGCCACGGUGAAUACGUUCCCGGGCCUUGUACACACCGCCCGUCACACCAUGGGAGUGGGUUGCAAAAGAAGUAGGUAGCUUAACCUUCGGGAGGGCGCUUACCACUUUGUGAUUCAUGACUGGGGUGAAGUCGUAACAAGGUAACCGUAGGGGAACCUGCGGUUGGAUCACCUCCUUACCUUAAAGAAGC
rnacentral:rRNA from 2 species